rnacentral:misc_RNA from 1 species
CAUUUUAAGAUAUCACGGUUGUCCGCUCUUUCGUACAACUAACGCCAGCGACGCCAUAGCUUUUCCUCGUGCGUGGAUUAGUUGAACGUGAAUAAAUAUUAACGUAAAAAUAACAAUAUCAAAACAAGAAAGUCCUUGUACGUAGAAUGCAAAUGCAAGCCAUGAAUAACUUCGGCAAUCAAAGAGGAUUUGGUGGACCACCGCAACCUCAACGGCAAGGAGGUCGUCGUGGUAAUAACAGAGGAUUUCGUAAUUCGAGAUUUGAGCAUAAUAGACCUCAACAGGGACAAGGAGGUCAACGGCCUAGUAAUGAGAAGGCAACAUCACAAUCGAAUCAGCCUGCUGAGAAAUCUAAUCAACAGCAGCAGCAGCAAAACCAACCUAAACAGCAAUCGUCUAGGCCACAGCAAAAAAUGGAAACUACAAAUGUACCACAAUCCACCAAUCAACAACAACAGAGCCAACAACAACCACAACAACAGCAACAAAUACCACAACAACAGCAGAAACAGAUGCAACAACAACAACAGCAGAAACCUGUUAAUGCUCCUGCAAAAUCGGAACCUCAAGAAAAUACUGACAAACCGAAAUUUGAACCAAAUAACCAGAACCAACAAAUUAAUCAACAUAACAAUCUAAACACGCAGCAACAAAAGAAUAUUAAUGGAAACUUCGGUGGACCUAAUAAACAAGGAGGAUCCUGGAACCAUGGUGGUGGACCUGGGAACAAACAAGGAAACAAACCCUUUGGUUCUAAGUCUUCUGGUGGUCCACUUGGGUCUGGUGGUCCUGGUCCAGCUCGCAAUCAACAGCGUAAUAGCAACAUGCGGGGACCCCCAGGGCAGGAUAACAUGAAGCCUGCCCAAAGAGAGGAAAUUAUUUUAUCUAAUAAACUCAAGGAUUUGCAAGGACCACUGUUUGACUUGCCACCAAUGGAACAAUCAGAAGUGAAGUUUAAUGGGAGAAGCAGAUUAUACAUAGGCAAUUUAACAAAUGAUGUGACUGAAGAGGAAAUUAUGAAGAUGUUUAGUCCCUUUGGAGAAGCUUCUGAAUUAUUCUUGAACAAAGAAAAGAACUUUGGAUUCAUUAAAAUGGAUUAUAGAGUUAAUGCAGAGAGAGCAAAACGUGAAUUGGAUGGAAAAUUGAGGAACAGUAGAACCCUGAGAGUAAGGUUUGCACCACACAAUAGUGCAGUGCGUGUAAAAAACCUUCCGCCAUUUGUUUCAAAUGAGCUAUUAUAUCGUUCAUUUGAAAUAUUUGGAAAAAUUGAGAGGGCUUAUGUAAAAGUUGAUGAAAGAGGAAAAACUCUAGGAGAAGGUGUUGUAGAAUUUGCACGCAAGCCAAGUGCCUUAUCUGCAAUUCGUAACUGCACAGAAAAAUGUUUCUUCUUGACAUCAUCCCUACGCCCAGUCAUUGUUGAAAGCUUUGAAGAACCUGAUGAAUUCGAUGGAUAUCCUGAAAAGAAUCUUCCCAAGAAACAUCCAGAAUUUACGAAAGCUCGUGAGCUUGGACCACGUUUCUCAGAGUUAAAUAGUUUCGAACAUGAAUAUGGAACUAGAUGGAAGCAACUGCAUGAACUUCAUCGUCAGAAAGAAGAGGCGCUGAAGAAAGAGCUUGCUGCUGAAGAGGAAAAACUUGAGGCACAGAUGGAGUAUGCCAAGUACGAGCACGAGACGGAGCUGCUGCGCGAGCAGCUGCGGCAGCGCGAGCAGGACCGCGAGCGGCAGAAGCGCAGCUGGGAGAUGGCGGAGCGCGCGGCCGACGAGCGGCGCGAGGCCGAGCGCCAGCAGCUCAUGCGCCACGAGGAGGAGCUGUCGCAGCGCAUGCGCCUGCAGGACGACGAGCUGCGCCGCCGCCAGCAGGAGAACACGCUCUUCGUGCAGGCCCAGAGAUUGAACUCUAUGCUGGAUCGUCAAGAACAAGGAAUGUUUGAUCAACAGCAGCCAAUGGUUUCAGUUUACAGUUAGCUAGUGGAUCCUAGAUUUCUUGUCAGUGGUUUUUGGAUUUGGCAUUGAUUAAGAAAAAAAGUGAUUGAUCUCGUAAAGUAUGCAGUGUUUCUGAUGUCGGCGGACUAGCUUCAGAUGGUGUCGUUAAAACUUGAAAAAAUGUGUAAAAAUUUUAGUGACCUAAACAAAAUUGGCCUUAAAAAUAUUGUUUAAUAAUAUAAAAUAUUUCACUGUACUCAUAGACGUAGUUUUGUAUUAUAUAAAAGACUGGUAAAUUCAAAUGUCAUUGUCAUAAAAAACAGUUACAAGUUCAUAUUAAUUACAGUUUAUCUACUUAGUCUUGUACAUGUUUCUGCGAACUUACUUCGUGAUAAAUUGUCUUGUUCAUGUUAUCUUUGCAGGAUAAGUAAUACUUAUUACCCUAACGGUAUGUAGUGCUAGUGAAUUUUAAAAAUGUUCAGCAAAUUUAAGAGGACAGUAUUUGUUGUUUAGGGUAUUUCUUGUAGCAAAAAUGUAAAAUAUUUUUGUUAAUUUGUUUUAUAAUAAAAUAAAUGUAUACGGUAUUUUAGUA